rnacentral:rRNA from 1 species
UACGUAGGGAGCAAGCGUUGUCCGGAAUUAUUGGGCGUAAAGCGCGUGUAGGCGGCAUGGCAAGUCGGGUGUGAAAGCCCUCAGCUCAACUGAGGAAGUGCGCCCGAAACUGCUUUGCUUGAGUGCUGGAGAGGGUCGCGGAAUUCCCCAAGUAGAGGUGAAAUUCGUAGAUAUGGGGAGGAACACCGGUGGCGAAGGCGGCGACCUGGUCCUUGACUGACGCUGAGGCGCGAAAGCGUGGGGAGCAAACAGGG